rnacentral:rRNA from 1 species
GAUUUCUGGCUAAUUCGGAUGGCCCGGUCCCUUUCGGGGCUGCGUGCUGUCUCUGAGUUUGCCAUCCUUCCAGAGAGCAGUGCCUACCGCUUCUGCGGCCGGGCGCUGUGAUCUGGAUCUUUUACUUUGAAAAAAUUAGAGUGUUCCAAGCAGGCUUACGCUUUGAAUACAUUAGCAUGGAAUAAUAAUAUAGGACUUUGGACCUAUUUUGUUGGUUUCUAGGACUGAAGUAAUGAUUGAUAGGGAUAGUUGGGGGUGCUAGUAUUCAGCGGCCAGAGGUGAAAUUCUUGGAUUCGCUGAAGACUAACUACUGCGAAAGCAUU